UACGGAGGGAGCUAGCGUUAUUCGGAAUUACUGGGCGUAAAGCGUGCGUAGGUGGUUUGUUAAGUCUGAUGUGAAAGCCCUGGGCUCAACCUGGGAAUUGCAUUGGAUACUGGCAGGCUAGAGUGCGGUAGAGGAUGGCGGAAUUCCCGGUGUAGCAGUGAAAUGCGUAGAGAUCGGGAGGAACAUCUGUGGCGAAGGCGGCCAUCUGGACCAGCACUGACACUGAGGCACGAAAGCGUGGGGAGCAAACAGG
rnacentral:rRNA from 1 species